CCUACGGGUGGCAGCAGUGAGGAAUAUUGGUCAAUGGGCGGAAGCCUGAACCAGCCAAGUAGCGUGCAGGAUGACGGCCCUACGGGUUGUAAACUGCUUUUAUACGGGAAUAACGCGCCUUACGUGUAGGGCUUUGCAUGUAACGUAUGAAUAAGGACCGGCUAAUUCCGUGCCCGCAGCCGCGGUAAUACGGAAGGUCCGGGCGUUAACCGGAUUUAUUGGGUUUAAAGGGAGCGUAGGCCGGAUGUCAAGCGUGCUGUGAAAUGUCCGGGCUCAACCCGGGGCUUGCAGCGAGAACUGGCGUGCUUGAGUCCGCGGAAAGCAGGCGGAAUUCGGGGUGUAGCGGUGAAAUGCGUAGAUAUGACGAAGAACACAGAUGGCGAAGGCAGGUUGCUGCAGCUGAACUGACGCUGAUGCUCGAAAGCGCGGGUAGCGAAAAGGAUUAGAUACCCGUGUAGUC
rnacentral:rRNA from 1 species